CCCGUAUGGGUACCAGCAAGAAAUGUCACACCAACCACCGACAGGCAGGCCUCCUCGGAAACUGAGCCAAAAGGAGAAGAGAUCAUCAUGACCCCCCCACUGGAGGAAUCACAAGAUAACCUGGGGUGAUAUCAAAGCCCUAUCAGAUCAACCUCAGACCAUGUCACCUACUGGAUACCAGAGUCCUGGUACUCUCUUCUUGCUUAUGUGUGCAAUUAUAACCUGCAACUUACAGAAUGCAUCCCAAGGACAAAACUCAGGAGGACAACAGGAGUCCCCCGGAUCAACAUCAUCAUAAGGCUCGCGGUCCUCACAGCCACAACUGCAACUGCCGCUCUCCUCACCCUACUAGAAGGACCACACCCAACCGAUUGGAAACAACUUAUGCUGUUGCUGGGACUUUAAUUGGACUUUCCCCUUCUUUUGCAUCAAUGCAGAAAAGGACCCCCUUUGUGCAUCAUUUUGUCAUUCAGCCCGCAAGUACAUGAUUGGUGGGUGGGAGCUCCAUCUCCCAGGAUUCUUUUAUUCUUUUACCUGUUGGUUUGGAUGAUACUGAUAUUGCCUUUCUUGUUUGCUACUAAUGUUUCCUCGCAAUGCCCAGUUACAUCUGACCCAAAAGCAAGGCACCCUUGGAAUAUGUCACUCUCAUUUGAUCAUUCAUGGGGCUUUACUAUAUUAAGGGAUGUAUCUAGGGCACAGAGGUUGUGUCAGUCUACAAUUUACCUUCACAAUGAUAUUCUUUGGGAGCCAGGAAUAGGAGGCAUUAUAGGUUUUCAACCACUCUCCUUAGAAGGAGAAGCAAAAGUAGUCUCAGUCAGUGAUCUGCCUAGUGGCAUGACCAUGCCUCCUCAUGGUAGAGACUCAUGUUAUUGGCCCCAACCCUUUCUGCAGAGAUGUCCAUGGAAAAAAUUUAAGGACAUCAAUGAAGGUAUACCUCUAAGAGCUGUAUCUUGGAAAGACUGUCUCUCCUUUUCCAGACCCUAUUUCAUUUCUGAUGAGCUUAUUUUAGUUGGUCCAGACCCUAUAAAAAAGGUGGAUGGAGAAUGGAAUUUUUAACAGAAACAAAUACAUUAAUAUUUAAAUAUCAUACAGAUUGGAUAAUAAAUGCUCAAAAUACAAAAGAAAGACAGUCAGGAGACAUUUUGCAAUUAGGCAAACAAUUGUUAUGUGGUGCUUACAAAUGUAUAGAUAUCAGUCCUAUUGUCACCAUGGAUGCCAUUUGGUUUAAGGGUUCUUUUGAAAAACCCUCAGCUAAACGUGCUACUAAGGGCCAUGUAUGUGUUAAGCCACCCUUCUUCUUUGUAACUUCCACUCAAAAAUCACAAAAAUGGUUGUCUUAAUUGUGAUGAUUCCCAAUGUGAGUUAACCAAUUGUUGGAAUUCUUCUGUUAAGACAAAAGAAUUCUGUUGGAAACCAUAACAUAAGAAUACCCCCCAUGUUAUGGUUUCCAACAGAGGAUGACUCCUCCAUUCAAGAGGUUCACUUUACAAAAGAUAUUUCCAUUCCCAGAGUUAGGCAAGAUUUUGGGAUUACUGCUGCCAUUGUAGCUGCUUCCCUUGUUGCAGUCGCUGCAGCUACCACUGCUGGUGGAACUUUGACCCAGUCCACACCAAAUGCUGCCAGAUAGUACAGUGCUCAACUAAAGCCCUGACACACAGGAGUGACUAAACGUGCACUUGCAAGGAGGUAUCUUAAUGUUACAACAACAGAUUGACCUUACUGAUGAAAAAAUUGAUGUGCUUCAAUUGAAUGUUAGAAUACCCUGCAGUCCUCAAUUUCUGUAUGUUUGUCGAACCCCUGUCUCAGUAAGAAGUGUAACAGAAGCUCGGCUUGAACUAGCAAAUAGACUUAAGGGACCUUGGGAUAUGACUUUUAGAAAUUUCACUAUGAUGCUGCAUGCUCAGAUUCUCAGCCUAAAUGAAACCAGAGCAGAGCUAAUUCUUAACCCCUCCAUCUUACAGUGACUAUGGGACAAAUUGUCAGCUUUAAUUGACCCUACUAAUUGGAUCCUCACUGGUAUUGGCAUAGUUUUUCUUGUUUUAGUAUAUGUUAUUUUAAGAUUUUUCCAAAAAAGGCUCAACAAAGUAAAAACAAAACAAGCUAUGUUAGUUCAUGCAUGUAAGGAAAGUCAAAAGGAAAAUAAUGAUUCCCCCACAUCUGUAUGGAUGGCGGCUAUGGACAGGAUCUAAGUAGUACCAACUAAGGGCCAGUUCUCUAUAAGGGAUCAUGCCCUGAGUCUUAGCACUGCUCUCCUCUUCAUCUAUCUGUGUCUCUCAGCUCUGUGACUAUAUUACUGUUUGUCUGUCCAUAGCCUUUUUUCUUCCUUCCUGAAUGCAGCCUCACCAGCCCAGUGCUGUGAGCUGGGCUCUCCAUGGAGAAGAAUUUCCUGCUCCUAAGGUAAAUGCUGGUGUGGAGGCCACAGGGGCAUUAUCUAUCCAGGAGACAGACACAAAGCCCUCAUGGGGACAAUAUCUUGCACAUUCCACAUCACCCUGUUUGGCCCCAGAGGAUGGCUGGUUAGUCAAUGACGGGUAAGAUUCCUCAAGGGAGGAACAACCUAAAACAAGCACAGCCACAGAGGGACCAUCAGGAGAAAACUUGGGGGCCAAAAAAUGUGAGGUACAGAAGCUCACCCCCCACCUGUGCAAAGGCCUAAUUCUUUACCCCUUUUGAGAGAGGUCUCCUGCCCCCAUGUCAAGCUCAAAUCAGGACCCAAGUGACAGACAGAGACCUAGUCAGCAGCAGCUGCCCUCUCACCAUAGCAGGAAACAACUGCAGCCACAGAAAUGGGCCAUGUUUGCAUCUUUCCCCUUUUCUCUUCCUUGGUUCUUUCCCCUUUUUCUAUGCUUUUCCCUCUUCCUUUCUUCUGUCAUCAUGGUUCUCCUUCAGCAGCAAAUUUAAUAAAAAUGGAGGAAAUGUUGGAAUGGCUUUCAGUUUACAGCUAGAAGCUAGCAGCCAUGAGCAGCUCGGAGUGCUUGAAGAAUCUACACUUGUUCAGGCCUAAUAGGAACACCUGUUCCUGAUAGGAACAGGAUGGGAUGCUCUAGCGAGCUGUUAGUGAGACCACAUCCUUAGCACUUGUGGUUAGUGUUGCCAAGCUGCCAGGCCAGGAAACUGAUAGCUAGGAGCUUCAACAUGGAACUUCUAACUUAGAAACCCCCUCCGCUAGGGAGAAAGACCCUUCCUGAUGAUAGCAAUAUUUAGAACAUCCUCAUAGUGUGGUUACAUUAGGCAGAAGAUGAUUGGCUUAUGGAUACUCAUGUAUGAUUCAUGGCAUGCCCACUUGAACCCUAUAACAAUUGUAUGCAUUCCAAAAAUAAACUGGGCUGCUGGAUGAUGACCUGAGGCAGGUCUCCAGCCAGUUCUCUCACCA